GAGAAGUUAGUAGGCCUCAUAGCUAAAGGCUGACUCUGCCUGUAAAGGAGGUGACUAAUCCUGUCAAGCUUGUAUAUAGAUAGAUGCUGGUGGUGGGAUAACCUUAAGUACAGACAUGGGUGUUGUACAACCCUGAAGCCUUUCUGAGCCUUACUGGGGGCAGUAAGCAGGCUCCCAAAAGAGGGGUAACUGGAGAAAGUACUUUGGAAAAUGGGAGUGCCCACCCGAGAUCAAGGGAGCUGUGUCCGGACUUCUAAGCUGCUCUAGCUGAAGGGCUUUAAUAAGCGAGAUCUCUGGAUACAAAAGGGAUUUAUAUCUAGUCAGCAAAGAAAGCUAACAGGCAGUCCAAAAAAGUCAGAAGAGGACAUAGCUUUCAAGAGAUGUAAGAAAAUGGUAUUGUAAUGUCCCCAAAGGUCUCAGACAAGAUACCAGACUGCUUAAGCAUCAAUCCUGAAAUACUGCAUGUACUUAG